rnacentral:rRNA from 1 species
UACGAAGGGUGCUAGCGUUGUUCGGAAUGACUGGGCGUAAAGGGCGCGUAGGCGGUCUUUUAAGUUAGGCGUGAAAGCCCCGGGCUUAACCCGGGACGUGCGCUUAAGACUGAAAGGCUUGAGUUUGGAAGAGGUAAGUGGAAUUCCUAGUGUAGAGGUGAAAUUCGUAGAUAUUAGGAAGAACACCAGUGGCGAAGGCGGCUUACUGGUCCAAUACUGACGCUGAGGCGCGAAAGUGUGGGGAGCAAACAGG